UCGCCGGUUAAAGGGGUACGUGAGUUGGGUUCAGAACGUCGUGAGACAGUUCGGUCUCUAUCCGCCGUGGGCGCAGGAGGCUUGAGGGAACCUUUCCCUAGUACGAGAGGACCGGGAAGGACAAACCUAUGGUGUUCCAGUUGUUCCGCCAGGAGCAUCGCUGGGUAGCUAUGUUUGGCAGCGAUAAGAGCUGAAGGCAUCUAAGCUCGAAGCAUCCCCCAAGAUGAGGCCUCCCUCCCCGAUUAAGUUCGGGGGUAAGACAGCAGCGAGACUAGCUGCUUGAUAGGUCGGAUGUGUAAGUAGGGCAACCUAUUCAGCAUACCGAUACUAACCAGUCGAGAGAUUUGACCC
rnacentral:rRNA from 1 species